GUGGAUAUAUUGAAAAGACUGAAAAAUACACUGUUUACAUCAAUUGAUUGAAUGUUAUAUUUUUCUUCGAUUUCUACAAUUCAAUGUUAUCUGCUGUUAUAAAUCAUAUUCUAUUUUUGCCUCCUUUGCAGGCAACUCUGUAUUGUUUUGGAUAACAGGUUUUUAACUCUUAUUUGUUUUGUAUUGUAAAUGCAUUUUGUAAAUGAUCAAACUUUGGCCAAGCUUCAAGCAAAAUAGUUUUAGGCCUGGGGAAAGCAAAACAUGGGAGGAAAAAAUCCCAAAUAUAAAACCUAUUAUACAAAACAAUACAGAGUUGCCUGUGGAAGAGGCUAAUUCUACUUAAAUAUUAACCCAGAACUCUCCCUUUGACAAGUAAAAUCAUCUUGCAUUAGACAGAAAAUGAUAACAUAGGGUGCAAUGUGACUCAAUGGGUUAACUAGACAUGUACGUACAUCAUGGGCAGAUAGACGAGUUAACCCACUAAGUGCCAGCACUCUCCCCUUGACGAGUAAAAUUGUAUAGCAUUCGCACUCUCCCCUUGACGAGUAAAAUUGUAUAGCAUUAGACAGAGUAAAAUAAUCUGGCGUUAGACAGAGUAAAAUAAUAAAGUAGGGUGCAUCAGUGCACAAUGCGACUCAAUGGGUUAGAGAUGAACAGACGGUCAAGUCUGUUCUGCACAUAUGUACCUUCUGAUGUAAACAAUUGGUAACAUCAAGGUGUUAUACAUAGGGUUAUACAAGGGUUAUACAUGGUGGUCAACAUUACAUGUAUCAACACUAAUGACUUGGAGAGUGAGCAAAUGAGGCUAAAUUGCAUGUAUUCACCAGCAAACACAAAGUCAAGACAUAUAGUGAACAAUUUACUCACACCGGUAACUGUGUUUCCUUUUAGAGUUGACCACCAUGUGCCGAGAUGUUGCAUCACAACAAAUGAAAGUAAAGAAUACCCAACUUUCACAUUGUUUCGGCAUCUCAUUCAGAAACUCUAAUCAAAAUUCAUUUAAAGAAUAGCAACCUGAAUGAUGUUAAAUAUGAACUAUGUACAUCAUAUUUUUUU